UCUGCUAUUUGUGGCUUUUGGUUUUACAUCACAUUUAGAAAGAGAACAAAGAGUCUGCAACAGCACAAUGAAUUCAGGGGAGGGAAACGCACUUUGCACUGAAUCCCCUAGCCCGAGAGUCUCGGCAAGGACCGCUACUCAGCCUCCUAGGGUUUCACCCGAGUGGAACUUCCUUCUCAGGUGAAAUCUUUCAUGGAAAGAGGACAAUGCAGAAAACAGAAGGCCUACGCCAGUCCUGGGAGUUCUCGAUAUCUUGCUACCACAUCAGAAGAGGUACAGGAAACAAAGAGUAGUUGAACCCAAGUUUGGCAAAAUACCAUUACCCCAAUACCAUUUUCGAAGUUAGGACGAAGGUCCAACAUGAUCUGUGCCAAUGUAAUCUCACCUGGGGACUGUUAAGCUGAAACCAUUCACUUAACCUUAGAAGAUCCUACAAGGAAAUGGGAAGACUGCUCACGUUUCAAAGAGAUGCGCUCUAGGAUCCUAGGACCCACCAUCAAACACGUCAUCCGUCAUCUACAAAUAGAUGCUUUCCGACCAUUUGGGGGGCUCUUUGGGAUCUUUACUGCAUGACCCACACGACUGGUAUAUUAUUAACAUAUAAAUAUUAAAAUAGACAGUGAAUAA